UACAGAGGUGGCAAGCGUUGUUCGGAAUUACUGGGCGUAAAGGGCGCGUAGGCGGCCCCGUAAGUCCCGCGUGAAAGCCCUCGGCUCAACCGAGGAACUGCGCGGGAGACUGCGAGGCUUGAGUUCGGGAGAGGGAAGUGGAAGUCCGGGUGUAGCGGGGAAAUGCGCAGAUAUCCGGAGGAACACCAGUGGCGAAGGCGGCUUCCUGGACCGACACUGACGCUGAGGCGCGAAAGCCAGGGGAGCAAACGGG
rnacentral:rRNA from 1 species